GUUUAUUACGACAAUGUGCAUUUAUACUUGGGGGGGGCAUUUAACAGUGAGAGGGGAUGUGUUCGGUUGGGAGGGAUUAGGGGAUAAUAUAAUAUAAAUUAUUAUGAUGACACUGAACUUAAAGCCAAUCCGCAUUUCUGGAUGAUUUUGUUCCUCAUUUUUAACUCAGGGUACCUGAGACGGGAAUCUCUUGACGAAGCCAUGAUUCUAAAACACGGACGUGUUUCCUUUAUCCUGCAGGACCUAAAAGUGAAGGGCAGGACAUGACUUCUCUCACUCUGCUACUUCUGACGGGGGGCGGAGCUUACAGCCCGGCUGGGUGGGUGUGGCUUAGCAGUGCCACGCCCUGUAGACCGUGGUGAAUCAUGAAGAAGGUAACACAAACUAAAACAGUGAAGAGGGUGUGAGGAGAAGUUUGGAAAUUAAACGUCUGAAAAUAGCACCUUUUUUUUUUGACCGCGUGAGAGAGAGGAAGAUAUUGUAGCUCUUUUUUAGAGAGAUGGGGAUGGGUUUGGAUGGGAGGAAGAGAGCUGAUUAGAGGAGGGUAAAGGAUGGCCAGAAAGCAUAAAGAGAGAAAAAAAAGCUUUAGUGUCUGAAAGACUUUUAGAGAGCUGCAGCUUGGACCUAAACAUAUUCUGUUUCCUCUAUUACCUCCUCAGUACCCUGGUUGAUGCUUGAAUUUGUCAGAUUUCGUGUAGUGUAGUUGUCAUAUCUGGUUCCUGCCCCGCAGCCCUCCUGCCAAACCAGGCGGAAACUAUCUUAUCUGUCGUCAUGUUUUGUCAGGGGAAAGAAAAAAACCAUCCUUCUGAGAAAAUGUUUUUAGAAAAGAUGCUCUCGUUUUUUUUGUGUGUUGGGGGCAAAAAAAAAAAGACAAAGGAAAAAUAAAAAUAAAAAUGUUUUUUAAAUGUUUUUAAAGCCCUCUCUUGCUCUGCUGUAGUAAACGUUGCUGUUCGCUCUAAACACUGCCUGGUGCUCACCCAGUCUGUGAGAUUAUUCAUGAAAUUGUACUUAGAAAACAUCUCCGUCAUGUCAACACUGAUGAAAUGAACAUUCACUCCUUGAAAUGUCCUGUACAUUUUAUUUAUUUCAUUUUGUAUUUUAUUUUCUUCUACAAAAUGGCAUGCACCAAUCCGUUCUGGGUGAUUUGGGAAUUCUUAGAUAGGAGCUUACAUCUGCAAAGUAUAGACUACUUUAUGAGUGUUGUACCAAGCGAUUCAUGCUCUAGUGUAUUCUAAAUGAGUGAAUAAUUGGUAUAUAAUUGUUAUAAUUAUAUUCAAACCCCUAAUGAACAAUCUUACCUUGCCCUGUUCUGAUAGAUUGGUCUUGGACUUCGACCCUCCCUCCCAUGGCUUGAUUGGCAGUUAUGCGUAGCCGAUGGGAACAAUGUAAUCCCUUUAUGAUGACCUCUGUAGGAACACAAGGUCAGGGGUCAUGCAUGAAAUGCGUUCAACACUUAGACAAUGCAGAGUAUUUCAAGUGUCUAAUUGGUUACUUGUCCCAUCCAAUCAGAAGACCAAAUAUAGUCCAGCAAUGACUUAUAUGAGAUUGAUAUUUUGACUUAAGUUCUGAGUAAAGCACUUAUUGUGUAGCCUUUUACCUUUCAAGGCAUGAUUACUAAUUCAUUUAGCUUAGAUGUGAAUGCCAUUUGACAAGAAAAAACACCACUUAAAAUAUAGUGUGGAAUUGUGUUUUAAACUUUGUUUUUCUCCUAAACUUGCGAGUUAUUAUGAAGUAUGACAAAAAUGUGCCCCUUAGCGCUUCUGUCACGUUAUGCAUGUGAGCAUGAAAAAUGAUGCUGGUGGGAAAUGUGUAUAACCUGUACAAUUGGUAUUUACUUAUCAUGACAUGUAGCACUGACUGAGAUGCGUGUCUAAAUUCCUACAUUCAGCACUUAGAUAGGUCCUGAAACCCUUGAGGGGAUUCCUACAUUCAGCACUUAGGUAGAUCCUGAGACGGGAUUCCUGAAGGGCCAAGAAUUUCCACAUACAUUAUUUAUGAAAACUAUAAAUCUAUGUAUUUAUCAUUGGGCAAUCAAAAAAGAACAUGCUAGUGGUUCCCGAAGAUGAGGAUGUUGAUUAUGGCAGCCCCCCGUACCUCUCUGAUUCAGAGGGGUUGGGUUAAAUGCAGAAGACACAUUUCAGUUGAAGGCAUUCAGUUGUACAACUGACUAGGUAUCCCCCUUCCCCUUCAUCAGUCGUAUCUAAUCUACUGAGGUGCAUUGCCAUUUGGGCUUUAUUUCAUGUUUGUAUGAAUAUUUUUGGGGUUCAGUUGUUUAGUUAUGCCACUUGGGUUAACGGAUCCCCCUGUCUGAAAAAGUCCUCCUCCUUAACACGACUGAGUCUCGCCUCUUUUACAGAGAGGUUUCACACUUCUAAUUAUUUAUAUACACUCAGAUAAUGAAUGUAAUAAACCGACAUGAAUCUCCCCCUCACACAAAAAAAAUAUCUGAAAAAAAAAACAAUGACACUGUCAGUUUUGGGGGGAAACAGACUGUUUCAUUUCUUUCUCCAUCGUCUGCUUGUAUUUGACUAGUGUUUUUCUGCCGUGGGUAUCUGUAGCCUUCAGUAUUGUACCUCUCAGGAUAAAGUUGACGGGAGGGGCAGCAAUAUUAGUCAGUCGGGGGAUGACGCAGACUUAACUACCUGUAUUAGAUUAAAUAUAUACAACACCUAUAUUAUAUAUUGACCUGGCUCAGCUGUGUCCAAGUGCUGUACCUCAACCUGCACUUUGUAUCCCUCUCAGGGAAGCCUGAAAGAAAGAAGGGAUAGUUGAUACUCUGGGAAAUAUAGGCCCCUCCUUUUUCUUUUGCUCUCGUCUUUUACAAGAGGAGCUAGGAGUAUGUGACGGACAGCUUAUUAGUCGAGUUCGUUUUUUUUUACUGUAACAUCACUCCAGGUUAAACUUCUUCAUGGGGAUUUGAGUUUAUUACAGAGAUGAGACAGAGACACAGUCGGUCAGAGACCUAGAGGGGAGAAUGUGACGGACAGCUUAUGAGACAGAGACACAGUCGGUCAGAGACCUAGAGGGGAGAAUGUGUCAGACAGGUGGAAAUGUUAACCUUCUGAAUCUGUCUUAUUAUUAUUAUUAUUAUUAUUAUUAUUAUUAUUAUUAACUUGUUUUAAACUGCAUUCCAAAACAAAUCAUUGUACCUUUUUAUAUAAAUGAAAAUAGCUAUAUACAUAUGAAUAUAUAUUUAAUUUACUGUUUUACAUCUUCAGGUAAAUUGAUGGAUUUCUUUUCAUUCUGAUGUGAGAUUGUAAACAAACAUGGAGAGAAAAAAAAAGAAAUGCAGAACAGAACUAACCUCAAUUUCUAGAUACCAUGUGACGUGCCAUUUUUGUCUCGAGUGGCACGUGAUACCUUUCAAGAAAAAAUCUAAACAGACUUCUGUGAAUUGCCAUUUUGCUUGUUGUUAUGAAGUGUUGUUGAUUAUUCCUCCAUGCUGCAUAUCCUGUUGUCAUGACGCCUCAGGUCCACCCACUUCAAAGCAGCUGAUUGUACACUAACUAGCAACACAAAUCAGGACUUUUAUUAAAGUAAAAGUGUUUUAGUACUCUUUUAGUACACUUUCUUGUGUUUCCAGAUUUCUUAGAUGGGACUGACGGAAGCACUUUUUAAAUUAUUAUUGUUAUUAUUAUAUGGUGGGUUUUAUCAUUAUACUUGUUAUUAUUAUAUGGUGUUUUUUUCAUGUUUUCUUAAUUUUUAAAGAAAAUAUAAAUUCUUAUAGCUACUAAA